UUCCUGAUGGUCACGAUCCACCUUCAUCAACCGCCACAAUCUUCAUCACAAUUGCAGGUUGGAUCCGACUUAUGGUAUCAUCACAGGUUGACUGUUCAAAGGAUUUCGGCAUCAUGGAAGCAAUUGCACCGACAGAGUCGGGUGAAGGGCGUUAUCAAGUUGUGAUUAUAUCUGCUAAGACUGCGGGGUAUGGGGCGG